GUGGGGAAUAUUGGACAAUGGGGGGAACCCUGAUCCAGCCAUGCCGCGUGUGUGAAGAAGGCCUUUUGGUUGUAAAGCACUUUAAGCGAGGAGGAGGCUACCGAGAUUAAUACUCUUGGAUAGUGGACGUUACUCGCAGAAUAAGCACCGGCUAACUCUGUGCCAGCAGCCGCGGUAAUACAGAGGGUGCAAGCGUUAAUCGGAUUUACUGGCCGUAAAGCGCGCGUAGGUGGCCAAUUAAGUCAAAUGUGAAAUCCCCGAGCUUAACUUGGGAAUUGCAUUCGAUACUGGUUGGCUAGAGUAUGGGAGAGGAUGGUAGAAUUCCAGGUGUAGCGGUGAAAUGCGUAGAGAUCUGGAGGAAUACCGAUGGAGAAGGCAGCCAUCUGGCCUAAUACUGACACUGAGGUGCGAAAGCAUGGGGAGCAAACAGGAUUAGAAACCCGUGUAGUCC
rnacentral:rRNA from 1 species